AUCUUUCAUAAGCUUGAAUAUUGGGUUUUCACUCUCGUGUGAGAUACCCCUCUCUCAAACCUUGCUGCGAAGUCAGCACUAUUGGGCACAUUACUUGUCUGACA